CAGCAGCCGCGGGAAUACGUAGGUGGCAAGCGUUGUCCGGAAUUAUUGGGCGUAAAGGGCUCGCAGGCGGUUUCUUAAGUCUGAUGUGAAAGCCCCCGGCUCAACCGGGGAGGGUCAUUGGAAACUGGGAAACUUGAGUGCAGAAGAGGAGAGUGGAAUUCCACGUGUAGCGGUGUAAUGCGUAGAGAUGUGGAGGAACACCAGUGGCGAAGGCGACUCUCUGGUCUGUAACUGACGCUGAGGAGCGAAAGCGUGGGGAGCGAACAGGAUUAGAUACCCGCGUAGUCCUGUCUCUUAUACA
rnacentral:rRNA from 1 species